rnacentral:tRNA from 1 species
GCCGGAGUGGCGAAACAGGCAGACGCAAGGGACUUAAAAUCCCUCGGCCGCAAGGCCAUACCGGUUCGAUCCCGGUCUCCGGCACCA